GUUCGAGUUUCGUCUCUGUCAGUUACAACUCACGAGUUACAAACCUCCCUCUCUUUUUUUUUUCUUUUUUUUUUUUUUUUAAUUUAAUUUUCUUUCUGCAAAUCACUCUCAAGAACAAAACAGUAAUCACAGCAAUUUUAGAGUUUUCAGGAAACAAACCAUUAAAACGAGAACAAGAAAAGCGGAGACACAACGAGUGCCUUCUCUGUUUUUGUUUUUUUUUUUCUCCCCAGCGCUUUUGAAUAACACAACAUCCUAGGGUUUCAUGUUCUUCGUAGCUCAUAUGUCUUAUGAAUGGAGAUUAUCACCUCUGCUUUUUUCUCGCCUCAAUUUUUUGUAGUCGCGGUUUCUACACUUUUGUGUUUACUCCUCGCUCUCCUCGCCGUCCGAUCAACAAAAUCUCCGAAAACAACGGACGAGACUGGUGCUGACGCGUCGGCGAAGAAGAAGCCGUGUAACUGCUCGUGUUCCUGCAACGGUGUUGUCGGAAAUAAUCAUCUGGAAUCUGCGGAGUCGGAUAUGUUGGAGAUAGAGAGAAGUACGCCGGUAGCGCCGGCGCCGGCGGUUGUGGUUGAGCGUGGGAGCGGCGCGUCGAUGAUGGAGCAGUUGGUCCCUGAGAUUACAACGCACGCGCUCAGUUAUUUGGAUUAUCCGAGUUUGUGUCGGCUUUCCAUGACCAAUUCGUUGAUGAGAAAAGCUGCUAAUGAUGAUAAUGCUUGGAAAGCUCUUUAUCAUAAGGAUUUUACAUUGGAGCAAGAUAGUGUGAUGCCGGUCCAUGGCUGGAAAGCGUAUUAUGCGGCUACCAGAGCCAUUGUUAAUGUUAAUGCAGAAUUUUUUAACAUCAUCAGAGAGAGGUCUCUUCCUGCGAUGGGUCAUUUCUGGCUUAAUGCAGAUUAUGUGAAGUGUAUUCAUGCCUCAGGGGAACUUUUUUCAGGGUAUAACUCUGUGAUUCAGAGUUGGCAGCUUGCAUUUAAUUGGGAACAAGGGGUUGAUUUUCAGGUUCAGGAUGUAAAGGCUCGGGUUCUGACAGACAUGGCUUGGGUUACAAUGAAAACCUACAUAGACAUCGACGCAGGACCAUUUAACAUGACUAAUGUGUUUGAGUUUCAUAAUGGACGGUGGUACAUGGUGCACCAUCACAGUUCAGUGAUGCUCAUUGAUGGAGAGGUGGAUCAACAAGUUGUGCAUGCGUAAAGAGAAAAAAGAAGAUGAUACCAAUGAUAACUUUGAUAUACUAGAUACAGAAAUAGUGAGAUAUUUAUUAGCAUGACCACAAUUCAAGUGAUUGAAUUUUCAAAGAUUGAAAGGGCAAAUGAAACCCUUGGGAUGCUCUUUGCUAGUUUUGGAGGCAGGUCUGGAUAUAUUGAAAGGUGAAAUUUCUGAAAAAUGGAUGGUAGUUGUCUAUGCGCUUAACAUUAUGUCUCAGUUGUCAUAUGCACUCUCAGAUUGUUAAAAAAAAAAAAAAAAAAAAAAAAUAUUUACGAAGUAGUUUGUAUGUAUGAUUUUACUUGAUUGGGAUUUGGGGAAUGCUGCCUCAUCAGAAUGUUAACUCCUGCGAAGCCUGCAAAGCUGUCAGGUAUCUUUUCCUAGUGCUGCUGCAAUUUCUUUUCAGCAAGAGACAGACCUUUUCCCUCUGCAUGAAUUGCUUUGAAGAAUUUUAACUGUUAACUGUUUGGAUGGUUCAAAUCGAACCUUAUUUUACAAACAUAUUGAUUUAGACUUUGGAGCUUGUUUGACUGGACUUAUUUAAUAUUUA